rnacentral:ncRNA from 1 species
CUCUAAUAUUAUUCGAGAUUAUGUAUUUUACGAAAUAUAUACAGUGAAAUAUUAGAUAUUAAAGGGGAUUACUCCAUCCUUAAAUGGUAAAAAUAGAAUCAUAGAUGAGGUAUUAGUAGUUAUCGAAAAUAUA